AUUGAACGCUGGCGGCAGGCUUAACACAUGCAAGUCGAGCGAGCGGCGGACGGGUGAGUAAUUUCUGGGAAACUGCCUGAUGGAGGGGGAUAACUACUGGAAACGGUAGCUAAUACCGCAUACCAUCAGAUGUGCCCAGAUGUGAUUAGCUAGUAGGUGGGGUAACGGCUCACCUAGGCGACGAUCCCUAGCUGGUCUGAGAGGAUGACCAGCCACACGGGAACUGAGACACGGUCCAGACUCCGACGCGAGGCAGCAGUGGGGAAUAGUGCACAAUGGGCGAAAGCCUGAUGCAGCCAUGCCGCGUGGGUGAAGAAGGCCUUCGGGUUGUAAAGCACUUUCAGCGGGGAGGCGUUACCCGCAGAAGAAGCACCGGCUAACUCCGUGCCAGCCGCCGCGGUAAUUC
rnacentral:rRNA from 1 species